CUUGAGCGACCCGAGCCACAGCGGCUCGCCGUCCCGGUCCCGCCCGUAGGUGGCGACCAGCGCGCGGGCCUC
rnacentral:antisense_RNA from 1 species